rnacentral:rRNA from 1 species
UACGUAGGGCGCAAGCGUUGUCCGGAAUUAUUGGGCGUAAAGAGCUCGUAGGCGGCUUGUCACGUCGGAUGUGAAAGCCCGAGGCUUAACCUCGGGUCUGCAUUCGAUACGGGCUAGCUAGAGUGUGGUAGGGGAGAUCGGAAUUCCUGGUGUAGCGGUGAAAUGCGCAGAUAUCAGGAGGAACACCGAUGGCGAAGGCAGGUCUCUGGGCCACUACUGACGCUGAGAAGCGAAAGCAUGGGGAGCGAACAGG